GACGAACGCUGGCGGCGUGCCUAAUACAUGCAAGUCGAACGCUUCUUUCCUCCCGAGUGCUUGCACUCAAUUGGAAAGAGGAGUGGCGGACGGGUGAGUAACACGUGGGUAACCUACCCAUCAGAGGGGGAUAACACUUGGAAACAGGUGCUAAUACCGCAUAACAGUUUAUGCCGCAUGGCAUAAGAGUGAAAGGCGCUUUCGGGUGUCGUUGAUGGGUGGACCCGCGGUGCAUUAGCUAGUUGGUGAGGUAACGGCUCACCAAGGCCACGAUGCAUAGCCGACCUGAGAGGGUGAUCGGCCACACUGGGACUGAGACACGGCCCAGACUCCUACGGGAGGCAGCAGUAGGGAAUCUUCGGCAAUGGACGAAAGUCUGACCGAGCAACGCCGCGUGAGUGAAGAAGGUUUUCGGAUCGUAAAACUCUGUUGUUAGAGAAGAACAAGGACGUUAGUAACUGAACGUCCCCUGACGGUAUCUAAACAGAAAGCCACGGCUAACUACGUG
rnacentral:rRNA from 1 species